AGCCAUGCAUGUCUAAGUAUAAAUAACUACACAGUAAAACUGCGAAUGGCUCAUUAAAACAGUUAUAGUUUAUUUGAUACAAAAAAUGGAUAACUGUAGAAAAACUAGAGCUAAUACAUGCCGUAGCCGCAAGGUUGUAUUUAUUAGAUAUACCCAGUAGGUGAAUCAUAAUAACUAUGCAAAUCGUAACCAUGUUACGAUAAAUCAUUCAAGUUUCUGCCCUAUCAGCUUUCGAUGGUAGUGUAUUGGACUACCAUGGCUUUCACGGGUAACGGAGAAUUAGGGUUCGAUUCCGGAGAAGGAGCCUGAGAAACGGCUACUACAUCUAAGGAAGGCAGCAGGCGCGUAAAUUACCCAAUCCUGACUCAGGGAGGUAGUGACAAGAUAUAACGACGCGAUUUUAAAUCGUGAUUGUAGUGAGGGUAUUCCAAACCGAACUUCGAGUACGAUUGGAGGGCAAGUCUGGUGCCAGCAGCCGCGGUAAUUCCAGCUCCAAUAGCGUAUAUUAAAGUUGUUGCAGUUAAAAAGCUCGUAGUUGGAUUUCAAAGUGGAAGUGAGGCAACUCGCUGAAGCUUAUCAGUCCGCAAGGACUGUUACUGUGAGAAAAUUAGAGUGUUUCAAGCAGGCUAUUGCAGGAAUACAUUAGCAUGGAAUAACGAAUGUGUCUAGAAUCUUGGUUAAUUCUAGAUUUCGAUUAAUAGGGACAGUUGGGGGCAUUAGUAUUUAAUUGUCAGAGGUGAAAUUCUUGGAUUUGUUAAAGACUAACGUAUGCGAAAGCAUUUGCCAAGGAUGUUUUCAUUAAUCAAGAACGAAAGAUUGGGGAUCAAAGACGAUCAGAUA
rnacentral:rRNA from 1 species